rnacentral:rRNA from 1 species
UACGGAGGAUGCAAGCGUUAUCCGGAAUGAUUGGGCGUAAAGCGUCCGCAAGUGGCUAUGUAAGUCUGCUGUUAAAGAGUCUAGCUCAACUAGAUAAGAGCAGUGGAAAACUACAUGGCUAGAGGUGCGUUCGGGGGCAGAGGGGAAUUCCUGGGUGUAGCGGGUGAAAAUGCGUAGAGAUCAGGGAAGAACACCGGUGGCGAAGGGCGCUCUGCUAGGCCGCAACUGACACUGAGGGACGAAAGCUAGGGAGCGAAUGGG